GGAUAUAUCCGGCAAUAUUUUUGAAGAGUCCUUCGAUAGCCAAGAAAACACAAUUUUGCCAAAAAAAUCGUAUGACGCUUUAAGUGAUCCGCUUCCGGAGACAUCGGCAUCAUCUCAAAAUGAUAUUCUGAAAGCUUUGAGGGAAGUCCUGAAUGGGCAAAAGGAGUCCAACGCACGGCUGGCAAAGUUAGAGGAAAAUGUAAUUUGCGUUUCUGUUUUUGAUAAAUGUAUUUUCUCAUUGUAAAAAUACUUCUCAUACUUAAGCAAACGACUGUAAUACAAAAUCAAGCCAUUCUUAGCCAGGGAUUGGCUAGUAUU